AGAGUUUGAUCCUGGCUCAGAACGAACGCUGGCGGCGCGCCUAAUACAUGCAAGUCGAGCGAGAAGGUGUAGCAAUACACUUGUAAAGCGGCGAACGGGUGAGGAAUACAUGGGUAAUCUACCAUCGAGUGGGGAAUAACCAACCGAAAGGUUGGCUAAUACCGCGUACGCUUCCGAAUCUUCGGGUUUGGAAGGAAAGCCGUGCUGUGAGUACGGCGCUCUUUGAUGAGCUCAUGUCCUAUCAGCUUGUUGGUAGGGUAACGGCCUACCAAGGCUUUGACGGGUAGCUGGUCUGAGAGGACGAUCAGCCACACUGGCACUGCGACACGGGCCAGACUCCUACGGGAGGCAGCAGUAAGGAAUAUUGCGCAAUGGGCGAAAGCCUGACGCAGCGACGCCGCGUGGGGGAUGAAGGUCUUCGGAUUGUAAACCCCUUUCGGGAGGGAAGAUGGAGCGAGCAAUCGUUCGGACGGUACCUCCAGAAGCAGCCACGGCCAACUUCGUGCCAGCAGCCGCGGUAAUACGAAGGUGGCAAGCGUUGUUCGGAUUCACUGGGCGUACAGGGUGUGUAGGCGGUUUGGUAAGCCUUCUGUUAAAGCUUCGGGCCCAACCCGGAAAGCGCAGAGGGUACUGCCAGGCUAGAGGGUGGGGGAGAGGAGCGCGGAAUUCCCGGUGUAGCGGUGAAAUGCGUAGAGAUCGGGAGGAAGGCC
rnacentral:rRNA from 1 species